UAAAGCACCGCAGGCAUCUCCAGGCCCGC
rnacentral:sRNA from 1 species